UUAUUGCUCAUUUUUAAUUUGAUUUUGAUCUUUGACCAAUUCGCUGUUCCUUAAUAUUUCAUGACGAGAUAUUACUUAUUAAUCCUUAAACGAGUACAUAUACUUUAACAUUUAAUUAAUUUUAUUAUGUUAAAGCAUGGUAUAUCAAUCUCAUUACAAACAUACAAUUAAAUUAAAUUAAAUUAAAUUGAAUUGAAUUGAAUAGAUAACGACUUGUAAAAAUUUCAAUGUGUUGUUAGGUUACUUUUAGAUCUUUUAUUACAUAUAUUUUGUUCGACUCGAGUUUGUUUAUUAAAAGAAAAGAUUGAUUUUUAAAAAUAUUCCCGGUAAAUGGAAGAUCUCUAAUUCUGUCUCAUAUAAAUUUUAUUCGAUUCUUUUAAAAUUUCAUUCUUGUAGAGGUUUCUUGCGUCAUCGGAGGUAUGCAAAGGUCAAUAACCUUAUCCCGUUCGAUGGGCUUGCAUCAUUUUGAAUUCUUUGUGCUCUGAGCCAUGAUAUUAGUCUUUCUAACUGAAAGAAUGAUCUUCAUUCGUUACAAUUACAAAAAUAUUAUAAUUCGUAAAUGAACGGGACACGAGUUUGAAGUUCGUUCUUUUUUUUUUUUUUUUUUUUUUCUUUUUUUUUUUUUUUUUUUUGAAAUUUCAACUUUUUUCUAUUUUCUUAUCAUCUUUUGUGAAAUAGCUUUGGAAUGUAUUAUGUGUCAUGCUUGAUACUGACGCAACGAUUUCCAGGUAAGUGUAUAUCUUUUCUUUCAACAGUAGCACGAUCAUAUGCAUGCAUGCAAAUAAACAUUCAAUCUUGGCUUUUAUUUACGAAGGAACAGCGAAAAUUGAUCAAUAUUACUUUUUCUUUUUAUUAUUCUUCUUCUUUUGUCUGUUUUUACCAUCUUCCUCUUCCCUAUCUUACUCUUUCCUCAAGUGUAAUUUUCUCAUUUCUUUCUAUCCGGAUGACACUUGGCUCGUCCGAAAUGAUCUUCUUUCUUUUACGAGUCAAAUACCAUCCUGCAAAUUGGACGACUCUAGAUUGGAAAAUAUAUUCUUUAUCUCUUUUUUUUCUUUUUUUUUUCUUUUUUUUUUAUUCUUCUGAACUAUACGAGAGAAUGUAUGGUCGUGUAUACUUACGGUAGAUAAGCUUCUAUAUAUUGAUAUCGUAAGUCUUAUAUCAAAUCUCUAAUACAUUGUGUGACGAAUCGUAACCGAUCGUGAGUGCAACUUCGAAUAAAUGAAUGAAUGAAUAAACGAACGAACGAACGAACGAACGAAAAAGCGUAUUUCAAUCGUGUUUCUUGUAUUUCCUAUAUAUUUAUUUAUUUCUUAGAUUUAUAAGUGAACUUGAAAAUUGAACGUUCGAUCAUUUUAUUUAUAAUUUGUUUUUUUUUUUUUUUUGUUAAUACGAUAAAAAGAAGAAAUAUAAAGAACUUAAAUCAAGACUUUUCACACGAGUUAGUCGUUUGCUUCGAUAAAACGUAUUAUUACAUAGUAGCAAUGGGUGGAACAGAGAACGUAAUAACUUUCACUAUCGGAAAACAAAUAAAACGAAGUCCCUCUCAGGGCACUCUUCCCCUGGCCUGUUUAAUCUCCGCAAUAGUUCCGGAAUGUUACCCACCCUUUGCCAAUGGUCUUCGUACUGCUAUCACCACCACCACUACCAUCAACUCUACUAUCACUACCAGAAAUAGCAAGCUCUCUCUCUCUCUCUCUCUCUCUCUCUCUCUCUCUCUCUCUCUCUCUUCCCUCCCCCUAUCUCUUUCUCUCUCUCUCGAUCCUCUGAACAUUUGGAGCAUUACACGCGCCGGCGAAGUAGAGGACGUAGAACCUGGUGGCCCACAUAAAACCGCCCCUUUCUGGCUACCCUAGUCACAUUCACCUCCUUGGAUUCUCUUCUCUUUUCUCUUCUCCCUCUUUCGUGAUGCUUGUUACGCGCGCGCGUAUAAGAUUCAAGGUUCACUUUACAUUCUCUCUUUCUCUCUCUCUCUCUCUCUUCCUCUCUCUCCCUCUCUCUCUCUCUCUCUCUCUCUCUCCCUUUCUCUAUCUUUUUCUCUCUUUUCUUCCCUCAUCCUCACUCUUUUUCAAAUGCUUCGUCUCAUCCUCCAUUUCUUUCUCAUCCCUUGGUCGAGUAGAAGGUUUUACUCCUUACGAUCUUACGUAAGAUCGAAGCUAUCCUCAUAGCCAUUGGAAUUCAGCUGACGUCGCGAGAACUGUCAGAUCCAAACUCUUUUUUCUUUUUCUCCCUUUGCUUCUUUUGUUUUCAUCUUCCGAUUUUAUGUGCCUAUAAAUUUGACGAUGGACUCUGUAACUUUAAGUAUUCUUCUUAUUAUCACUUUUAUUUAAUAAUAAAAUUAUUGACGUAAUUAAUCUGAAUUUAUAUGAGAUCUUUAAUAUAUAUCUUUCAAAUUUGUUACAUAGAUAUACAUAAAGAUACUAUAUGUCUGUUGAUUAACUUUGUGCAUCAAUAUCUAUCUGUGUUUUAGUCUAAUCGGUUAAUAUAUAUAAUCUUCUAUAAUUUUCCAAACAAAAGAUCGCGUUCGAGAAAAGUUUAAGUUCAUUGAAAAGAAUCUUUUUUACGAUCACGUAACUGUCGCUAUAUUUACGAGACAUAGAUUAACAUUUUCAAAAAACGUCUUUCGAAAGCUGAGAAUGAGAGGUGGAUUUUAAAGAGCUCGUGGUGGUGGUAUUUUCUCCCUCUCUCUCUCUCUCUCUCUCUCUCUCUCUCUCUCUCUCUCUCUCUCUCUCUCUCUCUUUCUUUCUCCUUUUUGCACUCUAAGGAGGAGGACGCGCUUGCGUAGGAAGCUCUUCUCGUCCUGUCAACCGGAAGGCGGCUUUCCUCCUCUUCGUCGAUAUUUUCUACGCCAGUCGAGGAAACGUGCGACCUCGAACGAAAGUGAGAGCUACCAUCUCUAUCGUGGGUGAAAGUCACGGCUUUAGCUACAUAAAUUUUUUCUCCACUCGUCGUGCAUUGAUAUUAUUUUCUUCUUUUUUUCUCUUUUUUUUUUUUGUUCCAAUUUUGUUGUUGUUGCUUUUCUUUUAAAUAGAUAUCUUGUUGCAUUGAAAGAAAAAAGAAAAGGAAAGGAAGAAAAUUCUUCUCGAUGGACGUGUUCGAAUAAAAGAAAUAAAAUUCUAAUUGAGUGAUAUAUAUUUAACUUGUGUGACGUAUAGUAUAUCUCAUUCACUGAUAAGAGAGAGAGCCGGUGAUCGUCUUCCUUGAAAUCGUAGAAAUCGAGUUCAUUUAUAGUGCCAAGCCGAUCAUCAGCUACAUGCGAAUGAAUUUCUUUGGAACGCAGAGAUACACGUACCUAGGUAUGGAUAUAUACAUGGUGACGACGAAAUACGAUACUCGAAUAUCUCUCUCUCUCUCUCUCUCUCUCUCUCUCUUUUUGCCCUCUUUCUUUCUUUAACAGAGUUACUUCCGUUCUCUCAUAGUCAGAUUUUAUAGCAACUAUAUCUUGACAGUAUGGCUCGGCUGCCUUCGUUGAAUAGUACGCGUAAAUCUGCAACGAGCGUAACUUCCUGUCAGAAAGAGAAAAAAAAAUGCGGAGGGAGAGAUCAUCUCUUAGUCACUCUCUCUUUCUCUCUCUCUCUCUCUCUCUCUUUUUCGCUUUCUAUCUCUUUCCUUCUCUUUCUCUGCGAAUAUAUCGCAUUGAGCGAAACCGAUAAAUGUGGGCGUGGGUCGCUGGAACGAGACAAGAAUUUGGCGGAAGUCGUGGCAAGUUGAACGACGUCGUUGAGGUACAAAGAAAGAAAAUUAAAGAAAUAAAAAAUAAAGAGAUAGAGAGAGAGAGAGAGAGAGAGAGAGAGAGAGAGAGAGAGAGAGAUGACUUCCUUUCUUUGGAUGUUUUCUUUGGUCGAAAAAUUCUUCUCUAAAGUACGUAGGUUUCACGUAACGACUAUACUUCUAGAUCUUAAAAUUUUAUAUUGAGAGAUCUUAGUACUUAUUGUAGCUAAAUUUGGAUUAUGCAUCACAUUUUCUUCGUGAGAAUCUAACAAAAUUUGUGUUGGUUAACGUAAGCAAAGACGACGACUACGACGACUACGAUUAUAUGCAGUCGUGUCUCUCUCAAAAUAAACAACGGCCUUUAAUAUCGGCCGGUGCACGUUAUAUCGUUGUUUGUAGUUUUGAUCACGACCAGAUUACCAACAUUGCAACCAUGAGUUGAUGUUUUUUAUUUUUUUUUCAAUAAUUUUUGCAUCGCAUUUAACAUUAGUCGAUCAUUUUAAUGACUAAACAUUAUCUAUUAACAUUCAUUAUUUAUUUAUUUUUUAUUCUUUCUUAUUUGGAUGAAAACAAAAAAAAGAAGUUAUUUUGCCCGAAACGAAGAUAUUCAAUUUGGAGUGAUAUCGGCGCGCUUUAUUUCAAACUCUCAGCGUGUAUAGUCGAACGCGGUCGAACUGUACCGAAUCCUGACGAAUCGAAACAUAGCUAUCUUUGCGCGAAAGCGAGAGUUGUGGAUGAGCGACCUUGAGAUCUUAACCAGAUUCGUUGCAUAAGGAUCCCUCGCAUAAACGUGUAGGAUAUCAUCAAAGAUAAAGACAGAAAAAGAGUUAAAGGAAGAUGAGGCGUAUAGGAAUUGAACGGUAUAAUAUCCGAUUCGAGUAUAUCUCUUUUAAUUAACAUAAAUUUUCGUUGAUCGAUCAUUUUUACAUUGUAAUUACAUUUCCUGCUAUUAUUUAUGGUUUAUUUAUUCAUUUUUUUUGUUGCUAUUAUCGAUACAACGAUAAUUUGUGAAUCUUUUUUUUUUAUUUUUUAUUUCUUUUUAUAAUAAGAUCCUUAACGAAAUUUGUAAAUUAAUAAUUUUUUAAUGUUCCGUUUUAUUGUUCGUUUCGUUUUAAGAUUCGCGUCAGGAAGAGUUCGGCGCCGUUUGCGUGCACGUUCUUAGAAUAGUUUCGUCGAUGUUUAUCGUUCAUGAGACUGUCAGUCGAAUUCAGUGCAUUCCACGAUGCUUGUGUAUGUCGGUCAAUGACGAUCGCUGGCCGACGUUAAGAGAAAGGCACGUGUUAGCUAUUCGGCAGCUGUUAAAAAACCUUUCGAAUGUCAAUUUUAGUUUGGCAAUAUAAAGUUCACUUCAUUUUUUCCACUUGAAUUCUCCUUCAAUUUCUAACGUGUCUCGUUUCGAGUGAGUCGAAGAUUAAAAAAAAAAGAAAAAAAAGGAAAAAGAAAAUGAAAAACGAAAGAAAAAGGAAAUAAUACAGAUAAGAAAGAACCCAUCGAAUAUUCUAGACUUCAAAGUUAUUUUCUUUCUCUUUCCUCUCUUUUUCCUAUCAUAUUUUUUUUUUCUUUUUCUUUUUUCGACUAGAAAACUUUGACCCGAAACUGUCAUCUCGAACUUCUCAUCUUGAAAUCAGUUCACCUGUCGGAUCUUGGCAUGUCAUGGAUAAGAAAAUUUUUUUCUAAAUAUACUGAUUGAUAUACAGAUUUUUUUUUUUAUCAUUUCCUGUCUUUUUCAAACUAUUCGUCUAAUCUUUCCGCUAGGAGUUAUAGAUAUCGAGUUUAACGAUAGGAGUUAUAGAUAUCGAGUUUACCGAUGGAGUUUAUAGCUGUAAACCGCCAAGGUUGAUCAGUCAAUAAUCAGUCCUAGCUUAGAAAAACUAGAAGAAAAGAAAAAAAGAAUUAAUUUUCAUUAAUCAUUUUUUAAUUCAUACAGCUCGCAAUAAAUAUAGAUCGUUUCGACUAUUAAAUUCUAUUCUAUUCGAGGAUCUCACACGACUUCCUUUGCGACUUGUUCACUUUAUUUUUAUCAUGAAGAUGAGUUCCGUAUCGCUAAUUGAUCGUAAUUCAAAUGCUCGCGACCUACAUGUACAUUACAUUCACUUAUAAUAGUAUGUUUGUGUACGGAAUCUUCCAUUUCGCUCGAUUGAAUAAGCUGAAAACUUUAAAAAGUUAACUAAACUAUUUUUUUUUAAUGAAUAUACGAACAUCUAACAAGAACAUUAGACAACGUCGUCUAUUAGAACAUAUCUAAAGAUCGAUUUUAUUUCUUUUUUUUAUUAAUGAUAGAUUGAAGAUGUAUUUAAAUCAAUGAAAAUGAGGUAUUUUAUAUAUUGUACACAAUCGUCGGAAGAAAUUCUACAGAACAUCUUAAUUUUCAUGAACGAAUUGUAACUUCAUCAAUCUUUAUCAAAGAAAAUAAAAACGAUUACAGAGCAUUCUUUAAUCAAUGCAAUAAGGAUAAUGAAUGAUAAAUAAAAUCAAACAUUUGUUUCAGUAAAUUAAAAGUCGACUCUUUUUUCGAAUCAUUGUUGAUUUUGAUAUUUGUACGUCAGCUUAAAUAUUCUCUAUUUAAUGAGAUCUCAUAUAACCGAUAGUUCAUUUAAUCGUUUCUUCUUCUUUUUUUUUUCUCUUAUAUCAUUAAUUCUCCAUUCUUCCUCAAUGAUUCAUGAGUAUAAUCGAUUUCAACUGACGGCGCUCGUAAAAAUAAAAAGAACGUUAGCUUUUAGAUUGUCACGAAAGAUCAUUAACACAUUGACUGAACGAGUUAAUUUAACAUAAAUCUUUAUAUUUGAAUGAAAUCAUAAGUGAGAUUAGACGAAAUUUGAGAACAUUUUUUAUAAUUGAAGUUAUUAGAACGAAGAGUGUAGGUCAUCAACGACAUCAGUCGAGCAUUUAGAACACUUUGACACAAUCUAUUGCUCUGAUUUUAUUUGUUACAAUAAAAGAGAGAGAGAGAGAGAGAGAGAGAGAGAGAGAGAGAGAGAGAGAGAGAGAGAGAGAGAGAAAGGGAAAAAAAGAUCGAUUGCCAAGUACGUACAUACGUAGAAGUCGAUCGUGAUCAUUUCACGCCCUUGUUUCUUUAUCGAGUAUCAUCGUACUCCGUGUGAUCUCAACGUGAUAUGAUCGUGACCAUCGAAUAUUGAAAUAAAAUAUCUUCCUCUGAUAGAGAUUUUUUUUUCGAUUUUUUGCCGAUCCGAUGUUCUCUCUCUCUCUCUCUCUCUCUCUCUCUCUCGUGUAUAUUUUUAAGUUUGCGACUUUGCAAUUGUAAUGAUUUAACAUAAAGUUUUUUUUCGAUUUGCUGAUGUUACGUUCAAGAUGGAGAAAGAGUAGAAUGCUAUUGAGAAAUAUGUCGUCAGGUGAAACAAACAAAUAGGACUUCUUUUUAGAAUCGAUGAGAGAAACAGAGAGACAGAAACAUUUUUAAAAUUUACGAUCCCUAUGGAAUCAUCAUGAGAGGAGAGGGCAAAAAAGAGGACGUCAAACCAAAAACACAAAGAUAACGCCACGAGAAGUUACGGAAAACGUAUGCGGAGAGUGAGACAGGAUAUAUUUUUGUAUCAGCUCCUAGCUAGACGGGGGAAGUGUUCAUAGUGCCUUCUUCCUAUAUUUUGCUCUCUUUCCAUUUGUAGAGGGCGACGCCCCUUCUCCCAUUCUAUCACAUCGAUUCAUUUUCGUCGUUUUUCCUUAGAUCGUUGCGCGUGUGCUUUGAAAGCACCGGUGACGUCAUCGGCCCGCUACAUAUGAAUCUCGUUUGAUACAUACGCCUGUAUCUUUCCGGGAUAAAGAAUUUAUAAACAUUUUAAUAUGUCUCGUCAUUUGAUUUUUGAUAGUUAAUUUAUUUUGUCGGAUAGAUGAAUUAACAUAUAGAAAUAUUUAUAAAAUUUUUAAGAUCUUGUAAAUUGAUUGCUCGAUUCUUCGCUUAUGAAUAAUUUAUAUAAAUUCAUAUAAAAAGUGGACGAUGAAGUAUCAAAAGUACAAAACUUUCCUCGCAGCUACGAACAAAUUUUUUCUUUUUUUGCACGAAAUUUUAAUUAACAAAUUCUUCACAAAAUUUUUAUCAGUGCAAAGUAAUAAUUUCGAUCGUUGUUGUAAAAAAAAAAAGAAAAACAAAAAAAGAAACAAAAAAAAAUUGAUGUCCUCGUGAUCAAAAAUACGCGCCUGUCGUUAACGUAGAAAGAAUGACUGCUGCAACGGCGGAUACAGCCAACUCCAUCGACGAUGUUCGUACUUACUUAUAUCGUAAGAUAGAAACGGAACGAGAAUGAGAGCGAGAGAGAAAGAAAGAUUGAAGGGGAGUGAGAGAAAGAGAGAGAGAGAGAGAGAGAGAGAGAGAGAGAGAGAAACACGCAUAGAAGCGCGUGCCGCCACGUAGUGGAGUGGAAGUGGAUUUUAUUCGGUGGAAGUGGUAGUGGCGCGAUGCGUGCGUCUCUCGCGGAGGCAAGUGCCCAGUGCCACUGCCAGAGACGCGCGGUUUCGAACGUAUUAACUUUUACUCUCGUAGAAGAAGAAAAACGGGAUAGAGAUAAUAAACAAGAGUAACAAAAAAAAGAAAAGAGAGAGAAAAAAAUCAAGAUAUACCAUUCUUGUCUCUCAACGACAACAAUAAUUUUCACAAAUAAGAAAGGUCUCUUUUUUUUUUAUUUCGUUUAUAAAUUAAGUGCCAAUUCAUCUACGAUGAAUUAAUAAAUCGCAAUAAUGUGUUCAUUCCUCGCGAUGCCAUUCGCUUUUGGCAUUAAUAGAUGUUCUUGGAUGGAUUGGUUGUAAAAACAAUUGAAAACUAUAUUAAAUUUCGAUGAAGAAAUUUCGCGCGUGUUACACCGAGAAAAUUUCGUUUCGUCUAAUCUCGCUAAAACGACGACGAAAUCUCUAUUCGUCGUACGUUGGAUGAGAGGAGGAAGGCAAAAGGAGGAAGAAAAGACGGUGGUGGUGGUGGUGGUGGUGGUAGAUGAGGAGAAGAAGGUGGAGAAGUUGGAAGAGGAGCAAGUGGUGGAUAAGAAAGGUGGAGGUGGACAGGGUGGUGAAGAAAAACGAGGGACGGAUUUUAUAUCUACGAGAAGUGUUCCUUCUUGUCGUGAUUACGUAACGGACGUUAGUGCUAAAUCGAAAGACAAGCGAGGAACGAUGAACUCCUCUUCGGAGGGGAGGCAAACUUUUGCGCGAGAUGUGUGCGAACGUAUAACUCUCUGCUCCUCGUGAUCUCGAGACGACGGAUCAGAUCAAAACCUCUAGGGGCCAUAGUACAUACAUAUACAAGCAAUAAAGGAAAAGACAGAGAUUAAUAAAAUUGAUUAGUAC